CCCCAACCUAUUCCUAGGGAAGGCGCCCAUCAGCGACGGUGCAGCCCGGGAUGACGGGGAAGCCGUCCACACCGGAGUAGACGUCGUGCCGCAUAGCUUGGUAGGAGGCAGCGGUGGUGCCCGCGAAGAGGACGCGGUCGGCACCGCACGGAGGCUUGGACCAUCAUGAUGUCGCCGGCACCAUCUUUACGACCGACUGCACCGGCGAUUACGUGCAACGACCACCACAACCACGGGGAUGAGAUCUAUCACGGUGAACUGCUCCGCGCUUUUUACUGAAUUUACCACCACAAAAAUUCCAAAGCAUCACUGGCUGGUGGUUUCUACUGAAUUUUACCACUACAAAAAUUCUAAAGCUUCUUUGGCUGGUGACAAAUUUGAUUCUUAGCAUGCAUGUACCAUACAUACUUUUUACUUUAUGUGGGCCAAUUAGUAUCUUCUACUUAGUUGAUCUGCACAAACACUGAAUUUUGUUUGGGGAAUUCUCCGUACUAUAUUGCACAUGUAAUUAUUUAAGUAUGUUUUCCUGCUAUAAAAAAAAAUCCUAUUUGCACUUUCAAGAGGUGCUGCAUCAUGGCAUAUUAUGGUGUUCGUGUACUAUAGUGUUUGCGAGUUGUCGACAAUGGUAACAAUGCUGCUGCUUCCGAGUUUUUACUGCAGUGUGUAAGGAGCUAAAGACAUACAUUUUUUUUGUUCUUAUGGGAAAUGUACCGUUUUUUGUGAAUUUUUUCGUUGCUCCAGGAAUACAUUGUUUUGUUCAUCACUUGUGGCUAUGCCAUGCACCUAGAAGGACACCGAGGAGGGAUAAUUAGUGCAUGAAUUUUUGCUGGUUUUGGAAUGUCUCUUUAAGGUGAAUACAUAACUGAACUAAUUUUAUAAUGAUUAUUCUGUUAAUUGUGUUGUAUGUAGGACUUUACUAUCUGUCUUCGUUCUGUAUAGUAGACUAUAAAUGAGCUUUUGUCAGCCC